rnacentral:rRNA from 1 species
GACGAACGCUGGCGGCGUGCUUAACACAUGCAAGUCGAACGAAGAGCGAUGGAAGCUUGCUUCUUUCAAUCUUAGUGGCGAACGGGUGAGUAACGCGUAAUCAACCUGCCCUUCAGAGGGGGACAACAGUUGGAAACGACUGCUAAUACCGCAUACGAUCCAAUCUCGGCAUCGGGACUGGAUGAAAGGUGGCCUCUAUUUAUAAGCUAUCACUGAAGGAGGGGAUUGCGUCUGAUUAGCUAGUUGGAGGGGUAACGGCCCACCAAGGCGAUGAUCAGUAGCCGGUCUGAGAGGAGGGACGGCCACAUUGGAAAUGAGACACGGCCCAGACUCCUACGGGAGGCAGCAGUGGGGAAUUUUCCACAAUGGGCGAAAGUCUGACGGAGCAACGCCGCGGGAGUGAUGAAGGUCUUCGGUUUGUAAAGCUCUUUAAGUUGGGAGGAAGGGUUGUUAGUGAAUAAGUGGGGGGUUUGACGGGACCAGAAAAAAAAGCCCCGGCUAAAUUCGGG